UACGGGUAAAUGGGAAUUUCUGGGCGUAAGCGCGCGUAGGCGGUUUAUUAAGUCAGAUGUGAAAGCCCCGUUAACAACCUGAGAAUUGCAUUUGAGACUGGUAGGCUAGAGUGCGGUAGAGGUGAGUGGAAUUUCAGGUGUAGCGGUGAAAUGCGUAGAGAUCUGAAGGAACAUCAGUGGCGAAGGCGACUCACUGGGCCAUUACUGACGCUGAGGUGCGAAAGCGUGGGUAGCAAACAGGAUUAGAUACCCUGGUAGUCCACGCCCUAAACGAUGUCAACUAGGUGUAUGGAGAAUUUAUUCUUUGUGUAUCGAAGCUAACGCGAUAAGUUGACCGCCUGGGGAGUACGGUCGCAAGACUAAAACUCAAAUGAAUUGACGGGGGCCCGCACAAGCGGUGGAGCAUGUGGUUUAAUUCGUCGCAACGCGAAGAACCUUACCUGGGCUCGAACUAUAGGUAGUAGAAUUGAUGAAAGUCGAGACGAACCGUCAAGUCGGUUGCCUACAGAGGUGCUGCAUGGCUGUCGUCAGCUCGUGUCGUGAGAUGUUGGGUUAAG
rnacentral:rRNA from 1 species